CUCUACACAUUUGUCUAUUCUAGCUAUCUCAUAUGAGUGAGAUCAUACAACGUUUGUCCUUUCGUGAUUGACUUCACUCAGCAUAACGUUCUCAAGGUUUGUCCACAUUAUACCAUGUAUCAGGACUUCAUUUCUCUUUAUGACUGAGUGAUAUUCUAUCAUAUGUAUACAGCUACCACAUUUUCUUUUUUAGCCAUUUGUCUGUUGAUGGACCUUCAGGUUGUUUCUAGGAGCGCCAUUCUUAUUUAGGGGCUUUUGGGGUACAUAUGUGAAUAGGAGGAAUAGGGGUGGAGAGUAGGUUGUCAAGGAACAGAGUCAGGAUUCUGUAGGUUAGGCGCCAAGCAUGAAGUUUGGUUCCUGGGAAUGGAGAAUUCCCUGAGAGUUCCCUCUCACCAUGUCUGGCUGCCGCCGACCCAGAUGCCAUGUGAUGGUCAUUUGAAGACAGGCCUGCCGGACAUCAGUUGGUGUACAGGAUUCACGCAAUUUUGGUAUUUAUCUGACUUACUCAGUCUAUAUGCUGAGCAGAUAACCUGAAGCUGGACUAUAUGAAGAAGAACUUGGCAUCAGAAUUGGAGGAAGACUCAUUAACAACCUAUGAUAUUCAGACAAUACAAUCUUGCUUGCUGAAAGCGAAGAGGACUUUGAAGCACUUACUGAUGAAGAUCAAAGAGUACAGCCUUUGGUGUGGAUUACACAUCAACAUAAAGAAAACAGAAAUCCUCACAAGUAGACCAAUAAGCAAACAUCAUGAUAAAUGGAGAAAAGAUUGAAGCUGUCAAUCUUUUAUUUGGAUCCACAAUCAACACCCAUGGAAGCAGCAGUCAAGAAAUCAAAUGAUGCAUUGCAUUGGGCAAAUGUGCUGCAAAAGGCUUCUUUAAAGUAUUGAAAAGCAAUGACGUCACUUUGAGGACUAAGGUGCACAUGAUCCAAGCCAUGGUAUUUUUAGUCGCCUCAUAUGUA